CCUUUACUUUCUUAAUAAACUUGCUUUCACUUUGCACUGCAUACUUGCCCUGAACUCUUUCUUGCGAGAGAUCCAAGAACCCUUUCUUGCUCUCUUGGGGUCUGGAUCAGAACCCCUUUCCUGUAACAUAUUUCUGGUGACCACAGAGGGGACUAUAGUGCAGAAACCCUGACCCAACGGCUACCUUUGGGUAAGUGUUGGCGUCCUGUGACAGCUUUCUCGUGAACCACAAAAGGGACAAUAUUGAGGAGACCCCUGAUCCAAAGGAAAUAGACUGCAACACUGAUUGGACGACUUUGGCUUGGCCCCAGGGCAAUGGUGUCGCAAGCUAAAUCACUAAGGCCGCUCAGGGAAAGGGAAUCCAGAAGCCUGGCGUGCCGGCAAAAGGGAAAGAAAGUGGUCACUGCCGCUUUAUGUAGCUCAGUGGUCAAGAUUUUGCACUUUCACAUGUGGCGAUCCGGGUUCGAUUCCCCACCUAGGAAGUAAGUAGUUUCUGGUUUAAUAUCUGUGUGACCUUGUCUAUUCUCUUCUCUUCCAUGGACUGUCAAAUUUUGCCUUCUGUAAGUACCUAGGAGGUUACCUUUGGUAAAGUUAAGA
rnacentral:lncRNA from 1 species